rnacentral:rRNA from 1 species
UUCCCUAACUUGUUUGCGGGUGGUGUUGGCAUAUGCAAUUUUUUGUACAACUGAACGACUUUCGGCAACGGAUAUUUCGGUUCUUGCAUCGAUGAAGAACGUAGGGAAAUGCGAUACUUGGUGUGAAUUGCAGAAUCCCGUGAACCAUCGAGUCUUUGAACGCAAGUUGCGCUUGAAGCCAGUAGGUUGAAGGCACGUCUGCUUGGGCUUCAUGCAUUGCGUCUCCCGUUCCCUUGUGCUUACGCGUGCAUGUCGGGAUGUGGGAGGAUGUUGGCCCCCCGUUUGCCCUUGGUGGUCGGUUGGCCUAAAAGGGAGUUCCCGACGACGGACAUCACGACAAAUGGUGGUUGCAAAAAUCGUCGCUUCAUGUUUGUGGAUGCCAUUGUUAGUCGCUGGUUGGCUCGUUGACCCCAGAGGUGCUAGUACAUGCGGCACCUUG